UACGUAGGGUGCGAGCGUUGUCCGGAAUUAUUGGGCGUAAAGGGCUCGUAGGCGGUUUGUCGCGUCGGGAGUGAAAACCCGGGGCUCAACCCCGGGCCUGCAGUCGAUACGGGCAGACUAGAGUGCGGUAGGGGAGACUGGAAUUCCUGGUGUAGCGGUGAAAUGCGCAGAUAUCAGGAGGAACACCGGUGGCGAAGGCGGGUCUCUGGGCCGUAACUGACGCUGAGGAGCGAAAGCGUGGGGAGCGAACAGG
rnacentral:rRNA from 1 species